GCCGAGGUGGUGAAAUUGGUAGACACGCAUGUUUCAGGUACAUGUGAGGCGACUCGUGGAGGUUCAAGUCCUCUCCUCGGCACCA
rnacentral:tRNA from 5 species